UAUAUGACUUUUCUAUUUUGAAAGUCCCUUCAACAAUAUGAAAGGUAAAUAAUCCAAUACUACCAUACAUACUAUGGCGUUUGUAAUAACUUCAGGUUGAGAAUAUGAAAAUCUUGAAAAGCUUUAAACAAACCUGAAUUUAUACAAAACCUAACCAAUGUAAAACAUGUAAAACUAAUAUCUUCUUUUUUUCUUUUUUUUUCUGAUACUAGGUUUUUGACCAACCCACUAGAAGGGUUUUAUGGAGUCGGGGGAGUCCAAAAACUAUAGAGACUCCAGUUGUAGAAGAACCAGCGACUAUAGCCUGGGAGUCAAAUGCUGGCAAGAGAUUAUUUUCGCCGGGUCCAUCUUUUGGAACCAUGGAAUCGUUCCUGGAUCUAGCUGUGUCAAUAGAAAGGCUUUAUCCAGAAAAAGAGAGAAUUGAGGCAGAGAAUCGCAAGCUAAAACAGAAAGUGACCAAGUUAAAACAAAAACUGAACAAUCGAAUAUGGAGGCUACCAGAUAUUAGUCGUCUACGACCAAGAACUAUUAAAAAGUAGUGUUGUCAAAUUGUACAGUUUUGACUAAGCGGUUACUGGGACAACCUUUCGACCGAUUAACCGGUUAACCGGUAGUUUAGUUCAUGUUCAAAGGGCUGGAGUUUCUCAUGGAAUUACUCUUCAAAUGCAUUGUUUAAUGAUACUAUGAAUUAAAGUGUGUCCGUAGGUAUUAUAAGCCUUGGCUUUGAGCUUUCCUGGUGAAAUUUGUUUUUACUUUCCUAAAUAAAACAAAUGCUAAUUACAUGUAUACGAAGAAGUUAAAUGUAUAGUACAUUUUUGUCAAUAUAUGACUUUUCUAUUUUGAAAGUCCCUUCAACAAUAUGAAAGGUAAAUAAUCAAAUACUACCAUACAUACUAUGGCGUUUGUAAUAACUUCAGGUUGAGAAUAUGAAAAUCUUGAU